rnacentral:rRNA from 1 species
GAGGAAUAUUGGGCAAUGCCCGCAAGGGUGACCCAGCAACGCCGCGUGGAGGAUGAAUGUCGUAAGAUUGUAAACUCCUGUUAGAGGGGAAGAAUAGUACCGGUUGGACCGGUAUAUGACUGUACCCUCAGAGAAAGCCCCGGCUAACUACGUGCCAGCAGCCGCGGUAAUACGUAGGGGGCAAGCGUUGUCCGGAUUUACUGGGUGUAAAGGGCGCGCAGGCGGGAUAAAAAGUCAGUGGUGAAAUCCUACAGCUUAACUGUAGAACUGCCUUUGAUACUUUUAUUCUUGAGUUCGGGAGAGAGAGACGGAAUUCCAGGUGUAGUGGUGAAAUACGUAGAUAUCUGGAAGAACACCAGUUGCGAAGGCGGUCUCUUGGUCCGACACUGACGCUGAGGCGCGAAAGCGUGGGGAGCAAA